rnacentral:rRNA from 1 species
AGAGUUUGAUCCUGGCUCAGGAUGAACGCUAGCUACAGGCUUAACACAUGCAAGUCGAGGGGCAGCAUGGUCUUAGCUUGCUAAGGCUGAUGGCGACCGGCGCACGGGUGAGUAACACGUAUCCAACCUGCCGUCUACUCUUGGCCAGCCUUCUGAAAGGAAGAUUAAUCCAGGAUGGCAUCAUGAGUUCACAUGUCCGCAUGAUUAAAGGUAUUUUCCGGUAGACGAUGGGGAUGCGUUCCAUUAGUUUGUUGGCGGGGUAACGGCCCACCAAGACAACGAUGGAUAGGGGUUCUGAGAGGAAGGUCCCCCACAUUGGAACUGAGACACGGUCCAAACUCCUACGGGAGGCAGCAGUGAGGAAUAUUGGUCAAUGGGCGAGAGCCUGAACCAGCCAAGUAGCGUGAAGGAUGAAGGCUCUAUGGGUCGUAAACUUCUUUUAUAUGGGAAUAAAGUUGUCCACGUGUGGAUUUUUGUAUGUACCAUAUGAAUAAGGAUCGGCUAACUCCGUGCCAGCAGCCGCGGUAAUACGGAGGAUCCGAGCGUUAUCCGGAUUUAUUGGGUUUAAAGGGAGCGUAGGCGGAUUGUUAAGUCAGUUGUGAAAGUUUGCGGCUCAACCGUAAAAUUGCAGUUGAUACUGGA